ACCCCUCAGUGUUGUCAGGCAAAAUACAAGGCAGCAGUAGCAGCAACAGCAGCAGCAGCAGAGAUCUGCAAUAGAUAAACACACAGACUCACACACACACCAGUUGGAUUGCUCGCAGACACACACCACACGCAUUGAGAGCGCUGAACUGGGGAAUAGUGGCUCUCGUUUCUCUAACAAAUCCUAUUUUAAUGGGGUUAUUGUCAUCUAUAUUUUCAGUGGAAAACAGCCACGGAGAAAGAGAAAGGCAGGUGUGCCCUUUAAGAGGGGGAGCAGCUGAGGCAAGGACGGCAUCCGAGUCUCCAUCCUCUGUGGAGGUUUUGCAGUUCUGAAGAGUGCGAGAAAGAGAGGUGGUCAGACGAAGCUCUCCGGAUUUCCGUUCUCGUUCCUUCCACCUGGGAAUACGCUGCAAUGGUCGGCAGUAUUCAAAGGUUUAAACCUGUCUGAGUGAGCCCUAUGAACAGCAGACCCAAUGGACAUCAAAGGCCAGUGUUGGACAGACGAGGAGUCGGACGGGGAGAACGAGUCGGAACAGUUCCUGUAUGGCAUUCAGGGGAGCUGUGCGGCGGACCUGUACCGCCACCCUCAGCUGGAUGCAGAUAUCGAGGCAGUGAAAGACAUCUACACUGACAGUGCUGUCUCUGUGAGGGAGUAUGGAACCAUUGAUGACGUGGACAUCGAUCUUCACAUUAACAUCGGUUUCUUAGAUGAGGAGGUUGCGACAGCUUGGAAAGUUAUCAGAACAGAGCCCAUUAUUCUGAGACUGCGCUUUUCUCUUUCUCAGUACCUCGAUGGACCUGAGCCAUCAGUCGAGGUGUUCCAGCCCUCCAAUAAAGAAGGCUUCAGCCUCGGCCUGCAGCUCAAAAAGAUCCUGAGCACCUUCACCUCGCAGCAGUGGAAGCACCUCAGUAAUGAGUUCCUCAAGGCCCAGCAGGAGAAGAGGCACAGCUGGUUCAAAGCCGGGGGAACCAUCAAGAAGUUCCGCGCCGGGCUCAGCAUCUUCUCCCCCAUACCCAAGUCUCCAAGUUUUCCUCUGAUCCAAGACACAGUUUUGAAAGGGAAGCUGAGCGUCCCUGAGCUGAGGGUGACGCGCCUGAUGAACCGCUCCAUCUCGUGCACCAUGAAGAACCCCAAAGGGGAGCUCUUCAGCUACCCCCCCAACAGCCAGACUGUGGCUGUCCCGGCGGCCAGGGCCCCUGCGCAGAUUACCACGAGGCAGCUGAUUGAAUUGUUUUUCUCAUCCCAGGCGGGCGGCCACUGCAAGAACAUCCCUACCUUGGAGUAUGGCUUCUUAGUGCAGAUAAUGAAGUACUCAGAGCAGAGGAUCCCCACGCUCAACGAGUACUGCGUGGUGUGUGACGAGCAGCACGUCUUUCAGAAUGGAUCCAUGCUGAAGCCGGCUGUGUGCACCAGGGAGCUGUGUGUGUUCUCCUUCUACACCCUGGGUGUGAUGUCCGGAGCAGCAGAGGAGGUGGCAACAGGAGCAGAGGUGGUGGACCUUCUUGUGGCGAUGUGUCGAGCUGCACUUGAAUCCCCUCGUAAGAGUAUCAUCUUCGAGCCGUACCCAUCAGUCGUUGACCCCAAUGACCCCAAGACUCUGGCCUUCAACCCAAAGAAGAAGAAUUAUGAGAGACUGCAGAAAGCAUUGGACAGCGUCAUGUCCAUUCGUGAAAUGACACAGGGCUCAUAUCUAGAGAUCAAGAAACAGAUGGACAAACUGGACCCCUUGGCACAUCCCCUGCUACAGUGGAUUAUUUCCAGUAACCGGUCUCAUAUUGUCAAGCUGCCUCUGAGUAGGGUAGGAAACAAGAAUGGCUUCCCCUCGAAUGCCCUUUAUCAAAUCAGUUUCUUAUUACUCCUACGUUCUGUCGUUAAGUGCUUCAUACUAACUCUCUUUUUGUCUCUCUUGCUCUCCCUCACAUUCCCUCAUGACCUCAUUGUGCUAGCAACUGAAAUUCAUGCACACCUCCCACCAGUUCCUGCUGCUCAGCAGCCCCCCGGCCAAGGAGGCUCGUUUCCGCACUGCCAAGAAGCUUUAUGGCAGCACCUUCGCCUUCCAUGGUUCCCAUAUAGAGAACUGGCACUCUGUUCUGAGAAAUGGACUAGUCAAUGCCUCGUAUACCAAACUGCAGCUGCAUGGGGCAGCGUAUGGAAAGGGCAUCUAUCUGAGCCCCAUCUCCAGCAUUUCUUUUGGAUACUCAGGGAUGGGGAAAGGACAGCACCGCAUGCCCACCAAAGAUGAACUGGUGCAGCGCUACAACCGUAUGAACACCAUCCCACAGAGCCGUCCAAUACAAUCGAGGUUUCUUCAGAGUCGGAAUCUGAACUGCAUCGCUCUGUGUGAAGUCAUCACGUCUAAGGAUCUGCAGAAACAUGGGAACAUCUGGGUGUGUCCAGUAUCCGACCACGUCUGUACACGCUUCUUUUUUGUGUAUGAGGAUGGCCAAGUAGGAGAUGCUAACAUCAACACCCAGGAGCCUAAGGUGCAGAAGGAGAUCAUGCGUGUGAUUGGGACCCAGAUCUACUCCAGCUAAUGGUGGUUAUCCAUACCUGUCUCUGGGGGGGGGGGGCACGCGGGCAGGCAGCCAGCGAAUGUUUGGGCGGGCUGACCUCAGGCCGGAUGCUAACGGCCGAGCUAACUCUUGAGCACAUUAUCUCUCAAGUCGUUUUGUCCUGGUCCUCGUUUUCCUCUCCCUUCUUUGUUCCUCUUCUCCGAGUGGCUUCGUUUUACAUUCUCAUUUAACCUCAAGUUUGGUCUGCUUUUCUGAGUUUUGUGUCAGUUAGAACUGCAAGUAGUAGUCACUGCUAAGUCUCUCCACAGUUUAUCCUCACUUGCCGCACUUUCACUGAUCCUUCUGACUACUUUUAUUUAUCAUUAUUCUUUGUGAAUAUCUAGUAAAGAAGAAAUAAUCACCCCAAACGAUAAUGUGUUCCCCUUGUGGCAAAUAAGUGAUGGAUUGACAUGCAUAUAGAAGUGUGUUCUCUUAUUGUGUUUGCAAAGGCAUUAUCUGCGAUCCGUUUGUUUAAUAUUCUUUGACUAAUGACAUGAAUUAAGGUCUGUGACAUAGUUAUCUGGGGGGCAAGCACUGCUCUGUCGUUUUGUCCUUGUCUGCUCCCAGAAUCCAAUAAGCGAGGUGUGGCUUGAAAUCGAGUUACAUACACUGAAGGCACUUUGUUUUUGAUAACAUUAUCAAAUGUAAAAAUCCAGACAUUAACAUUAUUAUGAUUUUCUUCAAUGAUUGAUGCACUUUCAAAACCUCAGAGCCCCAAAACGUCCAACAAACAGGAUAUUAAAGAAAAAAAUACUUUUAUCUCACUGGACAUACGUAUAAAAGGGCAGGCUGAACGACGUCAUUAAAUUAAAGAAACAAACACUGGAUUUAAUAUAAUCUGUCAGGCGCCGUCAUUUAGUUCAAGUCACCUUUCCUCCGAGGGGUGCAUAUCUCAUUUUGAAAUAAAUCUGUUUGUGUAUGAACUACACUUUCCAUUGGAGUCACAACUAACAAAAUCCAAUGUACAGAAAAUCAUGGACAAUUUUACCAAAAUAUCUACAUCCAGUCCAGGUGAGCUCACAUCCUCCCCGGCCUCUGCCUGAAGGACACUGGAUGGAAAAUGGCAACCUUGUAUAGCUAAUCAAGUUUAUCAGUUAGUCAUGUACUGUAUGUAUGUAUGUACGUGUGGGUUUGUAUUUUCUUGACAUUAUACUAGACAUUGCACUUAUUCAACGUUUGCCUAAACUGGAGAAAUGGACUGUCCUCGGACCUGCAGGACACCGGUAGAGGAGGAACAGUGGAAGAAAAAGUAUUUAUGGUGUCAGGAAGACUAUAAUAUUCAUCAUCUUAAACCAUGUCGGUGCUGAGACGGGCUUUCAGUGUCUCCUGGAAGUAAGACUACUGAAUGGACUUUAAGAGACUACUGAAAGAGAGCGACUUGUACAUAAGGACAUUGGAGACCUCUUUGAAAUGUAUUGCCCUGAAAGAAGUGGACAUGUACAGCUUACUCAUUCUGUUGCGGGACUGUGCUAAUAGCUGGUGCCUGUUUUUUUGCCAAGAGGUUUGAGCUGCGAGUGUCUUAGAGAAUGUAUUCUCUGGCUGUCUGUCUCCGGUGAGUUAUGUUUUUAAAGAUGAUGUCGACGACAACGAUGGUGAUUACGAUGCUGAUGAUGAAAGGCGACGAUGCAGAGAAAAAAAAAGAAUAAAGCCUGAUUUUGCACAGUUUUA